AUUGAACGCUGGCGGCAGGCCUAACACAUGCAAGUCGAACGAGUGGCGGACGGGUGAGUAAUGUCUGGGAAACUGCCCGAUGGCGGGGGAUAACUACUGGAAACGGUAGCUAAUACCGCAUACCAUCGGAUGUGCCCAGAUGGGAUUAGCUAGUCGGUGGGGUAACGGCUCACCUAGGCGACGAUCCCUAGCUGGUCUGAGAGGAUGACCAGCCACGCGGGAACUGAUACACGGGCCAGACUCCUACGUGAGGCAGCAGUGGGGAAUAUUGCACAAUGGGCGCAAGCCUGAUGCAGCCAUGCCGCGUGUAUGAAGAAGGCCUUCGGGUUGUAAAGUACUUUCAGCGGGGAGGCGUUACCCGCAGAAGAAGCACCGGCUAACUCCGUGCGAGCAGCCGCGGUAAUAC
rnacentral:rRNA from 1 species